rnacentral:rRNA from 1 species
CCUACGGGAGGCAGCAGUGGGGAAUAUUGCACAAUGGGCGAAAGCCUGAUGCAGCAACGCCGCGUGAGCGAUGAAGGCCUUCGGGUCGGAAAGCUCUGUCCUCAAGGAAGAUAAUGACGGUACUUGAGGAGGAAGCCCCGGCAAACUACGUUCCAGCAGCCGCGGUAAUACGCGGGGGGCUAGCGUUAUCCGGAAUUACUGGGCGUAAAGGAUGCGUAGGUGGUUUCUUAAGUCGGAGUUGAAAGGCUACGGUUCAACCUUAGUAAGCAUUUGACACUGGUAAACUUGAGUGCAGGAGAGGAGAGUGGAAUUCGUAGUGUAGCGGUGAAAUGCGUAGAUAUUAGGAGGAACACCAGUGGCGAAGGCAGCUUACUGGACUGUAACUGACGUUGAGGCUCGAAAGCGUGGGGAGCAAACAGGAUUAGAUACCCCAGUAGUC